rnacentral:rRNA from 1 species
UGUACUGUGAAACUGCGAAUGGCUCAUUAAAUCAGUUAUCGUUUAUUUGAUUGUACCAUUACUACUUGGAUAACCGUAGUAAUUCUAGAGCUAAUACAUGCGAAAAGUCCCGACUUCUGGAAGGGAUGUAUUUAUUAGAUUAAAAACCAAUGCGGGUUCCGCCCGGUUCUUUGGUGAUUCAUAGUAACUGAUCGAAUCGCACGGCCUUGCGCUGGCGAUGUUUCAUUCAAAUUUCUGCCCUAUCAACUGUCGAUGGUAAGGUAGUGGCUUACCAUGGUUGCAACGGGUGACGGAGAAUUAGGGUUCGAUUCCGGAGAGGGAGCCUGAGAAACGGCUACCACAUCCAAGGAAGGCAGCAGGCGCGCAAAUUACCCAAUCCUGACUCAGGGAGGUAGUGACAAGAAAUAACAAUACAGGGCUUUUCC